rnacentral:lncRNA from 1 species
AAUGAAGCAUAAUAUAUAUAUAGAGAGAGAGAGAGUAUGUUUCAUGUGUUUUCCAAACUAUGAAUGUUUUUGUUCUUUUAAAUUAUUUUUAAUGUUGGGACAUACGAUUCGAUUCGAUGAUCGACUAUAUUAGGCAUAACUUAUAUUUCUAGAACCGUCUAGAAAUAAAAUUUUAUAAUUUUUUAACCUUAUUUAUCAAAUAAUCGGUCUAAAAAAUAACUAUUUUAAUGAUUAACGUGACAAAUUUGCAAGUUCAAGGCAUUAAACAAUUGAAAUUGGGUGGUUGUUUUUCUAAAAAAAUAUAAUUACCAUCACGAGCAAGAUUAAUAGUUCCGAUUUAAAAUUUAAGUCACUAUUUUUUAUAGAAUUUUAUUUUUAACCGUUCAUUUUGAGAUUAUUAGUUUACCAAGUAAACGAAAUCAAAAAAAUAUAAAAUUUAGUUUUUAGAAAGUUAUAAUUAUAAAAUUAUAAAAUUAUAAAAUCGGAUAUUGACAAGAAAGUUUUUCUAAAGAAAAAAUAAUU